rnacentral:sRNA from 1 species
AUUAAAUUUCGGUCACCCACGAGGACAAAGAAGCCGCCCAUUGUUCCUCGAACUUUAUGUCUUCUUUGAUGAAAGGAAACCAAUUAAUAUGGCUUUUACUUUUAACUUAUCUUGAUUUUGCAACAACUGAUAAUAAGACAGAUGCCCCACGGACGACUUGGGAGAGUUGGAAUAAAUGUAAUACCACUUGUGGUAAGGGUCAUCAGACGAGGUCACGUGCAUGUGUUGACAUAGAAACCAAUGAAAACUGCACUACUGUAUAUACUGAAUUCCGAAUUUGUUCAGGAUUGGACUGUACAGGAAAGUCAAAUUCUUCUCGUCGUCAUAGAAAGGUUCAGAAAGAUGACAACAUUGGAAUUGAUAACGCAGUAAACAGCGCAGUGUACAGUUUGGUUAUCUUCAUACCAGGAAUCAUUGGCUUCAUUUUUGUUUGUAUACGAACCCACAGGAAAACAAAAAUGGAAGAAAAACAGCUUAAGGAAGUGGAAAGACGAAAACUCUCCCUUAGAAAUGAUGACAUCACAUGAAACGUAUUAGUGAGCAAAAAUACCCAGUGAAGAUAUGCUUUAAUAUCCGUUUGUUGACAUUAAACUUCAUCACAUGCUUAG